UACAGAGGGGGCAAGCGUUGUUCGGAAUUACUGGGCGUAAAGGGCGCGUAGGCGGCCUGUUAAGUCGAACGUGAAAUCCCUGGGCUCAACCCAGGAACUGCGUCCGAUACUGGCAGGCUUGAGUGCGGCAGAGGGGGGUGGAAUUCCGCGUGUAGCAGUGAAAUGCGUAGAGAUGCGGAGGAACACCGAUGGCGAAGGCAGCCCCCCUGGGCCGACACUGACGCCUCAGGCACGAAAGCGUGGGGAGCAACAGG
rnacentral:rRNA from 1 species